UAGGGAAUCUUCGGCAAUGGGGGCAACCCUGACCGAGCAACGCCGCGUGAGUGAAGAAGGUUUUCGGAUCGUAAAGCUCUGUUGUAAGUCAAGAACGGGUGUGAGAGUGGAAAGUUCACACUGUGACGGUAGCUUACCAGAAAGGGACGGCUAACUACGUGCCAGCAGCCGCGGUAAUACGUAGGUCCCGAGCGUUGUCCGGAUUUAUUGGGCGUAAAGCGAGCGCAGGCGGUUUGAUAAGUCUGAAGUUAAAGGCUGUGGCUCAACCAUAGUUCGCUUUGGAAACUGUCAAACUUGAGUGCAGAAGGGGAGAGUGGAAUUCCANGUGUAGCGGUGAAAUGCGUAGAUAUAUGGAGGAACACCGGUGGCGAAAGCGGCUCUCUGGUCUGUAACUGACGCUGAGGCUCGAAAGCGUGGGGAGCGAACAGGAUUAGAUACCCUGGUAGUCCACGCCGUAAACGAUGAGUGCUAGGUGUUGGAUCCUUUCCGGGAUUCAGUGCCGCAGCUAACGCAUUAAGCACUCCGCCUGGGGAGUACGACCGCAAGGUUGAAAC
rnacentral:rRNA from 1 species